rnacentral:rRNA from 1 species
AUUGAACGCUGGCGGCAGGCCUAACACAUGCAAGUCGAGCGGAUGACGGGAGCUUGCUCCUUGAUUCAGCGGCGGACGGGUGAGUAAUGCCUAGGAAUCUGCCUGGUAGCGGGGGACAACGUUUCGAAAGGAACGCUAAUACCGCAUACGUCCUACGGGAGAAAGCAGGGGACCUUCGGGCCUUGCGCUAUCAGAUGAGCCUAGGUCGGAUUAGCUUGUUGGUGAGGUAAUGGCUCACCAAGGCGACGAUCCGUAACUGGUCUGAGAGGAUGAUCAGUCACACUGGAACUGAGACACGGUCCAGACUCCUACGGGAGGCAGCAGUGGGGAAUAUUGGACAAUGGGCGAAAGCCUGAUCCAGCCAUGCCGCGUGUGUGAAGAAGGUCUUCGGAUUGUAAAGCACUUUAAGUUGGGAGGAAGGGUUGUAGAUUAAUACCCUGCAAUUUUGACGUUACCGACAGAAUAAGCACCGGCUAACUCUGUGACAGCAGCCGCCGUAAGAC